GCACUGGCAGUGCGGGUACUAAAAUUAGAACAACACAGAGAAGAUUAGCAUGGCCCCUGUGGGAUAACAUGAAAUUUAUAAAGCCUUCCAUAUUUAA
ensembl:snRNA LOC120099050 U6 spliceosomal RNA